rnacentral:rRNA from 1 species
GGGUUGUGAGGUUAAGCGACUAAGCGUACACGGUGGAUGCCCUGGCAGUCAGAGGCGAUGAAGGACGUGCUAAUCUGCGAUAAGCGUCGGUAAGGUGAUAUGAACCGUUAUAACCGGCGAUUUCCGAAUGGGGAAACCCAGUGUGAUUCGUCACACUAUCGUUAACUGAAUACAUAGGUUAACGAAGCGAACCGGGGGAAGUGAAACAUCUAAGUACCCCGAGGAAAAGAAAUCAACCGAGAUUCCCCC